GAUGAACGCUGGCGGCGUGCCUAACACAUGCAAGUCGAGCGGACAGACGAGGAGCUUGCUCCUUUGACGAUAGCGGCGGAGGGGCGUGACACAUGUGGAUACUCUACUUAUCAGACUGGGAUAACUUGGGGACAGCGGCGCUUACCCGGUAUAAUAUAUUGAACCGCAUGGUUCAUUAGAGAAAGUCGGUUUUGGUGGAACUUAUAGAGGGUUACGCGCUGGAUUAGCUAGUUGUUAAGGUAACGGCUUACCAAGGGAAGGCUGCGUAGCCGACCUGAGAGGGUGAUCGGCCACACUGGAACUGAGCCACGGUCCAGACGCCUACGGGAGGCAGCAGUAGGGAAUCUUCCGCAAUGGGCGGAAGCCUGACGGAGCAGCGCCGCGUGAGUGAUGAAGGUCUUCGGAUCGGAAAACUCUGUUAUGAGGGAAGAACAAAUGUGUAAGUAACUAUGCACGUCUUGACGGUACCUAGUCAGAAAGCCACGGCUAACUACGUG
rnacentral:rRNA from 1 species